GACGAGCGCUGGCGGCGUGCUUAACACAUGCAAGUCGAACGGGCACUUCGGUGCUAGUGGCGAACGGGUGAGUAAAGCGCAGGUAAUCUGCCGCAAAGUCGGGGACAACGUUCCGAAAGGGACGCUAAUACCGGAUGUUGUGCAUUUGUCGCAUGACAGUUGCACCAAAGAUUUAUCGCUUUGCGAGGAGCCUGCGUCCGAUUAGCUGGUUGGUGGGGUAAAAGCCUACCAAGGCGACGAUCGGUAGCCGGUCUGAGAGGAUGAACGGCCACAAUGGAACUGAGACACGGUCCAUACUCC
rnacentral:rRNA from 1 species